GRGGUUUAGGUUAAAUCAGACCAAGAGCCUUCAAAGCCCUAAGCAAGUAUAAUCUUACUUAACCCCUGC
rnacentral:tRNA from 1 species